rnacentral:rRNA from 1 species
ACGAACGCUGGCGGCGUGCUUAACACAUGCAAGUCGAACGGUAAGGCCUUUCGGGGUACACGAGUGGCGAACGGGUGAGUAACACGUGGGUGAUCUGCCCUGCACUUUGGGAUAAGCCUGGGAAACUGGGUCUAAUACCGGAUAUGACCAUGGAUCGCACGGUUUGUGGUGGAAAGCUUUUGCGGUGUGGGAUGGGCCCGCGGCCUAUCAGCUUGUUGGUGGGGUGAUGGCCUACCAAGGCGACGACGGGUAGCCG